rnacentral:lncRNA from 1 species
UUAAGAGGUUUUAACUAACUGGGUCUGUCUCGGCCUUGGCUCUAUAGGUGUGGCCUGAGUCUUGUUCUUGGUUCUUCUUGUACUUAUUUUUUUAAAUGAUCAAUUAAUAUGCUUUAGUAUGCUUUUUUUUUUUACAGGUGUUUCUUCUCGAUAAACCCAGAAAAAGGAACCAAAGUAGAGAGUAAGAACAACAAGCGUCGUCUCAACCUGAACCCUCGAGUCCUCACCCUGAUACAGGAUCUCUCCGAUCACGAGUGGCGUCAAGCCUAAAUAUGAACUCUAUGUGGACUCUGACUGUUUGUUUGAGAAGAGGUACUUUUAGGUUUCGCUUUGUUAAAUCCACAAUUUUUAUUAUUGUUAUUAAGGCAAAAUAUGUCAUUUCUGUUUUAAAGUCUUGCAAUAUGUACACUAUGUAAUUUUUAUCUGACACCUGCUUGUUUCCAUUUUGUAUAUGUUGGAAAAAAAAAUCAUCCAAUUGUUUAUUGCCGAUGGCUGGUAAAUAAAUUUCCCAAAAGGGAUUUUCCUCUCUUGUCUUUUCUCAAAAUGUAAUUUUGCAUGUUUUGCAGUAGGAGUAUUAGUAAUAAUUUUACAGGUGUAUAAGUACAUUUUACAUUAUAACUUGAUUAUUAAAACAUAAAAAUACAGCAUAUUAUAAAUAGAUUUUAUGUAUAAUAUACAGAACAGCACCAUUUAAAAUACAAAGUUUUACUGCUGUUCUACCAGUUUAAAUUUGUUUCCUGUAUGAUAUUUCCCUGUUAAAUUUACUAAAAAAAUACAGGAAAUAGUCUUUUUAUAUACAACACUGUAAUGCAAAAUUAACAAAACAUUUUUGUAGAAUAAACAGUUUUUUAAUGUGAUUCAGCCGUGAUUCAUUUCACUGUAAAUCAAUUUACAUAUUUCGUUGGUUAAGUUAACUACUGUGCUGCUGUAUUUUUUUCAGGAAUUCUCUGGUAACCACAGCUGCCAGCGAUUCCCUGUAAAAAAUACGAUAUUUUUUUUACAGUGUAGGCAACGUAAUAAUAACCGUUUUGAUCCAAAAAGCAGAGCAGAACAAUAACUCAGUGCAU